UAAGUCCAAUAGCCUCUGCAUCCUCGAA
rnacentral:sRNA from 1 species